UGGGGAAUUUUGGACAAUGGGCGAAAGCCUGAUCCAGCCAUGCCGCGUGCAGGAUGAAGGCCUUCGGGUUGUAAACUGCUUUUGUACGGAACGAAAAGACUCUGGUUAAUACCUGGGGUCCAUGACGGUACCGUAAGAAUAAGCACCGGCUAACUACGUGCCAGCAGCCGCGGUAAUACGUAGGGUGCAAGCGUUAAUCGGAAUUACUGGGCGUAAAGCGUGCGCAGGCGGUUAUAUAAGACAGAUGUGAAAUCCCCGGGCUCAACCUGGGAACUGCAUUUGUGACUGUAUAGCUAGAGUACGGCAGAGGGGGAUGGAAUUCCGCGUGUAGCAGUGAAAUGCGUAGAUAUGCGGAGGAACACCGAUGGCGAAGGCAAUCCCCUGGGCCUGUACUGACGCUCAUGCACGAAAAGCGUGGGGGAGCAAAACAGGAUUAGAUACCCUGGUAGUCCACGCCCUAAACGAUGUCAACUGGGUUGUUGGGUCUUUCACUGACUCAGUAACGAAGCU
rnacentral:rRNA from 1 species